UCUAAAGAAAGCAUUGGAAUUGGCACGGUAGAAAUGAAUAGUGUUUGGGUCUGAAUUUCAUUUUAUUUACGGGCAUGCCAUUCCUUUAAAAAAUGGGCUUUGUGGGUUUGGGCUCCGGAUGGGGUUUUAUUUGCUUGGUUGGAAUUGUAUUGGGCGGAUGGAAAUGGGGUUUAGGCACACAAUCACCCACAGAGAGGAGUCACCUGCAGAUUAUGGAGAGAUGAGAGCUGACAAAAUGGAGAGAGUGAGGGCCGCCAAUUUUGACUCGGGGAGAGAUGGAUGUGCUUCGGGUGGUUGGGGGAGGACAGGGGGACUGGCAUAUUGAAGAGAGAUGGGUGCUAGGGCUUUCGACUCAGUGAGAGAGAGAUUUAUCUAGGUCCUCUGCCAGGACCUAUGGGGUUUCCUCUGAUUUGAGAGAGAGAGAGAGAGAGAGAGAGAGAGAGAGAGAGAGAGAAUGACGGGGAAGGCAUGGUUGUGUGCAGUUUGUGGGGUUGGCCGGUCAGGAAGGGGUGACUGAGGGAGGUAUGGGUGACUUUGAGGGACUGACAGAUUGCAGAGAGAUGGGAGCUAGAGCAAAAAACCUCACACAGAGCAAACAGGCACAACAAAUGCCGCCAGAAUUGCUACAAAAUUCCACAAUCUGGUUGACCCCAAGAUCGAAUCUACCGACAAAGUUCCAAUUGCCGCCCUAAGAACAAAAAAACCAAAGAUAGAUAAAUUACAAUUUGUUUUUUGCAUGCAUGCUUGAAUAGCGUUCAUAAUGGUUGCCUUUGUUACAUUAUAAUUGAUGUUUUUUGCUAAAGUGUCGAAGAUGUUCGGUCCCAAAAAAAGUGAACAGCCAUGCUCUCCGUGAUCAAAUGUUGCACACCAUGCUGCAUAUUUUUUUUGUUUUAACAUCUAUGGUUGACGACUUACUUGCUCAAACACCACUUUUCCUAUGUUUUGCUAACUGCUAAGUGAGGUAUGUAGGUUGCAGAACAUAUAUUUUGCAGUCUUUACUGCAUGCUCAAAAUAUGUGUAAACUGCAGCUUGCUUCUGAUUCUUCAGUUUCUUAUCGGCUACUUCAACAAAUCUUCAACACUUUAUAUUUUAUAUUUCCUGUUGAACAACCUGCCUACACUGCAGGACACAUGUUAUAUGUGUGAACUAAAUGUUUCUUCUGUUUCUUAAGUAAACAAAUUUUUUUUGGAAAUCAUCUCUUUGUAAUCAAACACGUAUAGUUUCUUCCCACUCAUGGUGCAAUGUGUUUAUAUGCCAACUCACUUAAAUGUGUAUAAAAGCAAAAUUGAUUAUCUUACCGGUCUCAUUCACUCAUGUAUCCCUAUAUUUGUUCAUAAUUGUCUUGAAUUUAUUCAACUUAAAUGUGUUUUAUA